rnacentral:rRNA from 1 species
GUCUUUUUGAAAAAAUUUAAAGUCCGAUCUGCUCACUGAUUAAUUAAAGAGCCGCAGUAUCUUGACUGUGCAAAGGUAGCAUAAUCAAUAGUUUUUUAAUUGAAAACUUGUAUGAAAGAUUAGACGAGAAUUUUAUUUUCUUUAUUUUAUUAAAUUGAAUUUUAAUUUUAAGUGAAAAUGCUUAAAUUUAAUUAAAAGACGAGAAGACCCUAUAGAUUUUUAUUGUUGAUAUAAAUUGUAUUAUUAUUUAAUUAAACAAUUUAAUUGGGGCGAUUUUGUAAAAUAUAAAACUUAAUUUUUUUAAACCAUGAAUAAUUGAAUUUUUGAUCUAAAAUUUUUAAAGAAAGAUUAAAUUACCUUAGGGAUAACAGCGUAAUUUUAUUUAAGAGUUCAUAUCUAUAAUAAAGUUUGCGACCUCGAUGUUGAAUUAAGAUAAUAUAUUGGAGUAGAAAUUAAUAUAAUUAGUCUGUUCGACUAUUAAAUUCU